UUUCUUUUCUCCUUUUUACGAAUUAGAUUUUAAAUCAUGAUCGCUUACAGGUAAUAAUUAUUAACGUUUAAAUAAAACAUAGGUAAACAGUAAAUGUUUUAUUGCACGUAAUUGUUUUGAUAGUUUUAAAAGUAAGAUCGAACUCUAUGUAUCACCCUUGGUCGUAAAAGAAGGGAGAGGAAGGAAGACAAAGAAACAAGAUGGUUUCCAAUUUGAUCCGAUGGAAAGCGCUGUAGUAGCGGGACGCGGCGACAAGUGCGACGGGUAUCGGUGAUUAGGAGGGAAGAAGAGGACAAGAAGAGAGGGCUAAGCCCGUGAAAAAAGGACGAGUGGUAGAAAGAGAAAGGGAGAGGGAGAACAGGAGCGCAUGCCGCAGCCACGGCCCCCAACUUGCCCUAAACUCGUGCGAGCAGGCUCUAUCGUCGGUCGAAUUUUAAUGGCGGCUUAUUCCGACUCUCUGUUCAGUGUUGUGUUGUGAAUCGACGGACACAUUGUUCGAAUUUACACACGUGCGGACUAGCUGACACGAAGGACCGUAACUUCUUGUCAAAUAGAAAAACAAGUUUUCGAUUGUGUACGACGGUGUCCCGUCGUAGAAAAUAUUCGAUCGAGAUAGAGGCUCACGAGACAUGGUGCAUAUCCGCGAUGUGCCGUAGCCGUGGCGACUCACCUCACAUCGGAUUCUUUCACAUUAGAGCUGUUUCGUACGUCUUCACUCUUUCGUGGAAAAGGGGUACCGGACAGUGAGCACCAUGUCGGUACCUGGUCAUACAUAUUGCUGGUAGUAACGUAUUCAUAUUGGCGUUCUACCAGCGGUUAUUAUACCCUGAUUAUAUCUAUUAAGCUUCCUACCCUAGCCUUGCAUACGCACAAACGCACACGCCUAGCGUGCGCGCACGUGCUUUGCUAGGUGUCGUAUACACACCAUGAGAUUCCUGGAAUAUAGAACAUUUUCUAUUUCAUCGAUAUUUUCACCGUGCUUGCUGCAACCGUCCUUCCAUGGAUCAUUAUUUUCGUCCAUGUCUGUUGCCACUUGGUUUUUAGUGGUAUUGGUAACUGCAGCAAUAGACACCCCUGCUAGUACUACCGUGCCACCACAAGAGAAUAAAUCACCUCACAUUACUGCACAGUUUCCUGCAGAAGAAAGUCAACAAUAUGGAUUUUAUGCCUUAGAUCCAAAUACAACGAGAGAAGGUGCCCUAAGAUUUAAUCAUCUAGCCAUAGAUCCUAUGACAAAGAGACUCUAUAUUGGAGCUGUUAACAGGCUUUUACAGCUUGAUUCCAACCUUAAGCUUGAAGAACAUGUUUCAACAGGACCAAUAUUGGAUAAUCCCCAGUGUCAUGCCACAGGCUGCUCUUCAAGAGAUACAACUACGCUAAUGAACAAUGUAAACAAGCUUCUUAUUGCUGAUCUUGAAUCACGGACCUUAAUUGCAUGUGGUUCUCUUCGUCAAGGUGCUUGUGAAAAGUACAAAAUGUCGAACAUAUCUAUCAAGCCAGAGUUUAUUCCUCUCAGUGUAGCAGCUAACGAUGAAACGUCUUCUACAUAUGCUUUCAUUGGUCAAAGUUACAAUCCAUGGGGAAAGACAAAUAUUCUGUAUGUAGGUACAACGUUUACCAAUAGAGGAGACUAUCGUCAUGACGUACCUGCCAUUUCGAGCAGAAAUCUUCGUAAUUUAGAAUUUGCAGAAUUUUCAUUUAACAAACAAUCGAUAGUAUACAUCGAUGUUAAAUAUAGAGAUCAUUUUUUAGUCAAAUAUGUUUAUGGGUUUAAUGCAAGUGAUUAUGCAUACUUUGUAUUAGUACAGAAACAAUCUUAUCUUCCUGAACAAGAAGAAUUGGGAUAUACAUCUAGAUUGGCAAGGAUUUGUAUAAGUGAUCAAAAUUAUGAUAGUUAUACGGAAGUGACUUUACAAUGUAUGGUAGAUUUAGGAGAUGGAAAGCAACAUCUUUAUAAUUUGGUACAAGAUGCUAAAGUAGCAUCAGCAGGAAGCGAUUUAGCUAUGCAACUAGGGAUAUCUGUUGGUGAUCCUGUGUUUGUUUCUGUGUUUUCUCCGAGUAAAGGUAUCACAAACGAACCUUUGUCUCGUUCAGCAGUUUGUAUCUACAGUCUACAAGAUAUUGAGACGAAAUUUAACGAGAACAUUCAUAUGUGUUUCAAUGGUACUAUCAAGUAUCGCAAUAUGGGUUACGUUAGUGGUCCGAUACAAGAUGGAAAAUGUCCUUCGGCCGGUAACACUGGGAAUAUCCUUAAUUUUUGUGAAGUGGGCUUGAAAAUUUCUGGCGUAUCACCUAUUGUAAGUCAAGCAAUUUUACAUUUUCCUGAUACAUUUGUCACUUCUGUGACUGUAGCAAAUACAGAAAGUCAUACAAUAGCAUUUUUUGGAACUGAUGACGGUAUAUUAAAGAAAGUUUUGCUUUCUGCUACUGAAGCUUUUGUUUAUGAAAGCAUUGUAAUUGAUAAAGGUCAAAGAUUAUUACCUGAUACAGCAAUCUCACCCGAUGGGGAAUAUAUAUAUGUAUUGUCAACUUCAAGAAUCUCAAAAGUCAAAGUGGAGCACUGUAAUAGUUACACUAAUUGCAGUAGCUGUCUUGAUGCAAAAGACCCUUAUUGCGGUUGGUGUUCUUUAGAAAAAAGGUGUACGGUAAGAGGUGACUGUCAGAAAGCAAGUCAUAGUAGCCCAAGAUGGUUAUCCUUAGGCACUGGUCAACAGUGUAUUGAUUUUGAACAAGUCUUUCCUGAUCAUUUACCUAUCAAUCAGAUGAUUACGGUUCAGUUAACAAUUAGAACAUUGCCUGAAUUGCCAGCAGGUGCCAAUUACAAAUGCGUUUUUGGUAAUGCAGAACCAAUUGAUGCAUUGAUGACUGGCUUUGGUCUUUCCUGUCCUACACCACCCAUUUCUGAGAGGCCUAAUAUACUUGAUGGAACUGAUCAUGUUCUCGUGCCAUUGUCCGUACGUUCAAGCGAAACCAAUAAGGAUUUCGUUUCUCGAAAUUUUGCAUUUUUUGAUUGCUCUAGACAUACUGUAUGUACCGAGUGUGUCAAAUCUCAAUGGGCAUGCAGUUGGUGUGUAUAUGAUAAUAAAUGUACACACAAUACAAGCUGCCAAGGAAUAAUAUCAGGAGAAAAUAAUCAAGCACAUCUAGCUGCACAUGGAGCUCAGUAUUGCCCUAGAUUCAUACCACAAAAGGAACCUUUGAUGUUGCCAAACAGUGUACCUAAAGAAAUCAUUUUAGAAGUUGAAAAUUUACCACACCCACAAGUAGGGCACAGUGGUUUUCAGUGUAUCGUUACGAUAGAAGGAGCUAAUUUAAAAGUUCAAGCAAGAGUUGACAGCAAUCGUUUUAUAGUUUGUGACAAAACUGUUUAUUCUUACGAAGCAUUCACGGGAAAAUAUAAAGCCGAAGUGACCGUUGUUUGGAAUACCAAUCAUUAUGUAGAUCAGACUAAAAUAAUUCUUUAUAAAUGUGAAGUACUUGGAUCGCAUAGGGAACAUGCAGACUGUUCGCUCUGUCUAACGAGAGAUCCUCGAUUUGAAUGUACAUGGUGUGGAAAUAGUUGUGUGUAUAAACAUUCUUGUUUACAUUCACCAUUUGCAGAAUGUCCAAAACCAAGAAUAGACAUGAUUAAACCCUUAAGUGGGCCAAUUGAAGGUGGUACAUUAGUUACCAUAGAAGGGAGUAAUUUAGGAUUAAAGAAAAGUGACGUUGAAGGGAAAAUACAUAUUGGCAAUACCCCAUGUACCUUGGUAAAUUAUGAAGUGUCCGUUCGUAUUGUCUGUCAAACAGGACGACAUGAAGCAACGGAUACAGCUUCCGUUGUUGUCGGUAAUGACGCUGGAUUUACAGAAAGUGCAGUGUUGUUUAAUUACAAGGACAUACGUCUGACUGGGAUUUAUCCAUCCGUUGGCCCACAAAGUGGCGGUACACAACUUGCCAUUACUGGUAUGUAUUUAAAUAUUGGAAGUACGAUAUCUGCCUAUUUGGAUGAAUUACCGUGUCAUGUGAAUGCAACGCAAGCAAGUAGUACAAGAUUGACUUGCGUUACAAGUAAAUCUGGUCGUGUCAGGAGGAUUCACAAGUUAACUUUAUCCAUCGAUGGAGCAAAUCGUACAUUAGUAAAUAAUCCAUUCAAUUAUACGCACGAUCCUACCAUAAUGGAGAUCAAACCAUUGAAAAGCUUUGCUUCCGGUGGGCGAAUGAUAACCGUACAUGGCACAAAUUUGGAUACCAUCCAAAAGCCAGAAAUGGAAGUUUAUUUUGAUACUGAGCCUACACCAGUAAAUCGUACCGUUUGUACGGUAUUAAAUCCAACACAAAUGGAAUGUCCAAGUCCUAGCGUUGCUGGAAGAUUCGUAUCUCUUCAUCGUAACGAACGUACGGCAACAGGUAGUCAUACUAUUUCACAUUCAAUAAGGCUUAAAGAAUCUCAAUUAUCCUUUAAAAUUGCAUUUAUUAUGGACAACGUGGAAAUUGUUCGAGACUUAGAAAAGCAUUUUCAAAGUCUCAGAAAUCGAUUAUUAUACGUCGAGGAUCCGAAGUUUUUUCCAUUUCCACGUAAUGUUAAGUUGUACAAAGGGGAUACGUUAGUUAUCGAAGGAGAAAAUCUUAAUUACGCAAGCGACGAAUCCGAUGUAAAUGUUACCGUGGGUAUGAUGCCAUGUAACGUUACUUCGCUUGCUUUGUCUCAAUUGGUCUGUACACCACCAGAUCAACAGCCCGAUCAUACGGAUGAACUUGGAAUAAAAACAGAAAAUGGUUUACCUUUGGUUGUGGUACGUGUCGGAAGGAGUUUACGAUUUCCUAUUGGAUAUCUUCAUUAUGAAGUUAUCAAGUCCUAUCCUAUACCACCGGAAGCAAUUGCAGGUAUCGCUGCUGGUACUUUUGGUCUUAUAUUCUUAUUCGUUUUGGUCUUGGUCAUUUAUAGAAGAAAAAGUACGCAAGCUGAAAGAGAAUAUAAAAGGAUUCAGAUACAGAUGGAUACUCUCGAAAGUAACGUUAGAAUGGAAUGUAAACAAGCAUUUGCUGAAUUGCAAACCGACAUGACGGAUCUAACAGCAGAUCUCGAAUCGUCCGGCAUACCGACGCUCGACCAUAAGAAUUACAUUAUGAAAGUCUUUUUCCCUGGGGUUAUAGAUCAUCCGAUAUUGAAUGAUCCACGAUCACGCAGCAAUGUCUCUCGCACAAAUUAUGACGCUGCAAUGGUGCAAUUUGAGCAACUUAUUAAUAAUAAAUACUUUGUGUUAACAUUCAUUGAAACUUUAGAGGCACAAAAAGACUUCAAUAUUAGAGACAAAGUUAACGUCGCUUCAUUAUUGAUGGUAGUAUUAAUGGGCAAAAUGGAAUAUGCAACUGAUAUACUUAUGAAUUUAUUACUUAGACUGAUCGAAAAAGCAGUUAAUACAAAGCAUCCGCAACUUAUGUUAAGGAGGACAGAAUCUGUAGUAGAAAAAAUGCUUACAAAUUGGAUGGCACUUUGUAUGUAUAAUUAUUUGAAAGAUUACGCAGGUUCAUCGUUAUUUUUAUUAUUCAAAGCUAUAAAACAUCAAAUAGAGAAAGGUCCUGUGGACGUUAUAACGCACGACGCACGUUAUUCAUUGUCCGAGGAAAGACUUUUACGAGAACAAAUUGAGCACAGCGUUGUGACUUUGCAUGUUGUACAAGAUGAUUUGGAUGAAAAAAUUCAAUGCAAAGUUUUAGAUUGUGACACGAUAAGUCAAGUGAAAUCUAAAAUUCUAGAUGCUCUUUACAAGAAUACUCCUUUUUCGUUAAAGCCGUCCGUUCACGAUGUAGAUCUAGAAUGGAGACACGGCCGCGGUGGCCAUUUAACGCUUCAAGAUGAAGAUCUGACUACCAAGUGUAGCGGCGAAUGGAAGAAGAUAAAUACAUUAGCUCAUUAUGGCGUUAAGGAAUCUGCAGUAAUGUCUCUUAUUCCUAGACAAAAUGAUAGCUUUCCUGUUCCUUGUAAACUACCGUGUCACGCAUGCAAGCCAUCCCAUUAUCAUCAUCAACAACAACCGAUUCAUCAUCAUGGCCAUCAUCACCAUUUACAUCGACAUGCAAAUCAUUGUUCGUCCACUCACCUUCCAUCUGCACCAAAUCACAGCUUAAUAAGUCCUAUAAUGUAUAAUCAUCCUGUUAGCGGCUGUUAUUUCGAUUCUCAACAUUCACCCCCGAUAAUAACGGCAAAUGGUGAUGUUGAGAGUGGACACGGGGGUAAUCAACGAUUAUACCAUUUGGUGAGGCCUAUAGAAGAAGUACAUUACCCUCCUGGAAUGGGUUUCACGAGUAAUAAACACCAUCAUCCUGAACGAACGCACAAAGCCAUUCCCGAAAUAUUCUUAACGAGAUUGCUUUCAACGAAAGGCACUGUCCAAAAGUUCGUUGACGACUUUCUUAAUACGAUAUUGACAGCUAAUGAAGCACUGCCUAGUGCUGUUAAAUGGUUAUUUGACCUGUUGGACGAAGCUGCCAAACAACAUGGUAUUGUAGAUCCAGAAGUGGCACACGCGUGGAAAUCCAAUAGUUUGCCAUUAAGAUUUUGGGUGAAUUUUAUUAAAAAUCCAGAUUUCAUGUUCGAUAUAAACAAGUCUACGACAGUCGACUCGAGCCUUUCUGUAAUAGCACAGACAUUUAUGGAUUCAUGUUCCAUGACAGAACACAGAUUAGGCAAAGAUUCUCCAUCGAAUAAAUUACUUUUUGCCAAGGAUAUACCACAUUAUAGAGAAAAGGUCGGUCGUUUCUAUACGGAUGUACAGAUGCUGCCACAAAUUACAGAUCAGGAAAUGUCUAGUGCCAUGCAACAAUUGAGUGCAUCUCAUGCAAAUGAAUUUGACGUAAUUGUAGCAUUGAGAGAACUGUACAUUUAUGUCAGCAAGUAUUAUGAACAAAUUUUAGAGGCCUUGGAGACAGACGCAGGCUGUCGCAAAUUACACCUAGCACAUAAACUAGAAAAUGUAGCGUGCACGCUCCAAGGAGAAGAGACUAGUGCCUGCUGACACAACCUCCUACCUUCCAUCCCAGGACCUAUCGACCUCUCCAGAAACACUGACUAGUGCCUCCACUUCAUGAAUCAGAUACACCUCGUUACAUAUGUACAAAUAUACACGCCAUGUGCAUAACAAUGCCAUUAGGAGAGACAACAACAGUAUUGAACAAAAUGUGUAUAUUUAUCAAGAAGCACUUCUCAUCUAUUUUACGAGACGUAAAGAAGAAAGAAAGUCACUGAUGCAAAUGCAUCAAAGACAAUUUUGUCGUUUACAACGACAUUUACAUAGUAUUCCUUUAUAAAUGCAUUUUAUGUUUAGUUAAUAUAAGACUGGCUCAUUUUUUAAGUCACAUUUUUGAGAUGAUCGUUAUUCAUCUCACACAUGUAUUAUUCUGAACAAAAGAAAGAAUUUAAUCAAUUCAGCGCGCACUGCCAAGGUUCUUUAUGCGCUACAUUAUAAAUUCUCGAUCGGUUUAACAAGAAAUACGUAUUUAAAGUGUUAUUCGGAUCGAAUUAAAAAAAGAAAAAAAGAAAAAAAAAAGAACGAGAAAAGAAAGAGCAGCUGAUGUUCUGUCAAUGUAGGCCUAGGGAAUCUGGGGACAAAAAUCACUCUCUUGUACUUAACAAUCCUCUUCCUUGUAUUUCAAUUAAUCUUAAGUCUCCAGAAUCCCUCCCCUGCGACAUUAAUUCAUAUUAUCUCACUCUAUUAUAUGUAUUGUAUUUAUUUAUAUUACAAACAGACUAACUCUUUCUCUAUUAUUGAAAUGUGCGUUAAUCUGUACACGACAUCAACAUUUUUUCGCAUAAUUCUUUUUAUGUCUCUCUGUGAGUAUUUGUAUCAAAUUGAGUGCAAGAUUGUAUUGUAUGUAUGUAUACACUCUUUUAUAGUUUUUUAUUUUUUUUUUUAUUUUUUAUUAUUUUUUUUUUAAUUUUUAUAUAUAUACAUAUAUAUAUAUAUAUAUAUAUAUAUAUAUAUAUAUAUAUAUAUAUAUAUAUAUGUAUUAAGUUCUAUUCUCGAGACGAAACUAACUCGAAUUUCUACACAAAAAUGUUAUUGUGAAAAUACGAGAGUAUCGUUAGUAUUAUUUUUGUAAACACAUACAUACAUUCGUAUAAAGAAAUGAGAUGUAUGAUCCUCGUUCGCGAAAAUAUUGUAAAAACAAACGCGAUAUAUGUGACAUACAUUUAAAACGUUAGUGUUAACAUGAAAUUGAAUUUCGAUACAAGAUAUGAUAUUUACUAUUUUCUAACACGUAGUAAUUUUUCUUUUUUUCUUUUAUAAUUUAUUUUUUUUUUUUUUUUUUAACUCCAAAUAGAUCUGAACUUUUAAUUAACAAAUGGACGACCAAAUUAUAUGGUAUUUGUACUAGAAGAAAAAAAAAAGAGCGUUUCGUUUUUAUUUUUACUUUAUUUUUUAAAAUCGUGUAUAUAUAUAAUAUAUUGACACAUAAACCGUCUAUACUUAUGUAGUACUAGUUUAUAUAAAAAUCAACGAUUUACCAACGCGCAUUAUAUGACUAUAUUGUAAACGUACAAUUUUAUGGAUAAAAUGUCCAUAAAUAUUAACUCUUUAUCUGCCCUAACCUAAGUAAACGAAUAAAGGAAAAAUAAUGAUGAUAGUUUAGUAAUGAUGAUGAUCUAAUGCGAUGAUAAGAUUAUCGCUUACGAAAAUAAAAUAAAAUAAAAAAAAUCAAAGAGCGUCCCAUUUUUUACAACGCUCGUUAGAAAUAGUAUGAAUAUAUAUUUUUCAUUCCUUAAUGAUGAAUUAAAAAAAAAAAAGAAAAAAAAAACAAAUAAAAAAAAUGAAAACAAAAAAAUAAACAUUAUUACUUACUUUGGUGUGUGGCAGGUAAUGUGUUAAAAAAAAACUUUCAAAGAAGCGAAUACGAUUAAUAUUUUGUUGGUUUAAAAAUGACAAAUAAAUUUGUAAUAAAUAGGAAUAAUGACUGUUCGUUGUAGUAUGGCUUUUGGAAUGUGACUUUCAACAACCUUAAAUGCAUUUUUAUUGCUUUAUUCGCUUAACUGCAAAAAGAAUAUAUUUAGAUUUAUUAUUAACUCGUAAUUAUACCAAUAUUAGCUUUUGGUACAAAAGAUUCAAUUUUGCCGCGUAAUAUAUCAUAGAGGUUAUAAAAACUAAAACUUUUUCUAAUCGUGAAGAUACGUUAUCAAGUUUUUUAAUUAAAAAAAUAAGAGCGUACGCUUGUAUGCAUUGAUACAUGAAAUAAUUUAAUAUAUAAAAGGUAAUUCAUUAAAUAUAUAUAACUCUUAA